UUACUACUACCUCCGUCCGAAAAUACUUAUCAUUAAAAUGGAUAAAAGAGUUAGAUGUAUUUUAGUUCUACAUACAUCUCUUUUUAUCCAUUUUGAUGAUAAGUAUUUUUGAACGGAGAGAGUAUGUA
rfam:Triticum aestivum genome assembly, contig: Triticum_aestivum_CS42_TGACv1_scaffold_288251_4AL